GCACACAUAGUACAUUGGAAACACCGUUUUUCGUUAGAUCACCGAAGUUAAGCAAUGUUAGACCAGGUCAUCACUUGGGAGGGUGACCACUUGGGAACACUGGGGCUGUAGGUUUU